rnacentral:siRNA from 1 species
UGGGCGUUUUCUGGUGCGCU